rnacentral:tRNA from 1 species
GGGAAGGUGGCUCAGUGGUAGAGUGCUUGCCUUGCAUGCAUGAGGCCCUGGGUUCGAUUCCUC